rnacentral:rRNA from 1 species
ACAGACAGCCAGGAUGUUGGCUUAGAAGCAGCCAUCAUUUAAAGAAAGCGUAAUAGCUCACUGGUCGAGUCGGCCUGCGCGGAAGAUGUAACGGGGCUAAACCAUGCACCGAAGCUGCGGCAGCGACGCUAUGUGUUGUUGGGUAGGGGAGCGUUCUGUAAGCCGUUGAAGGUGGCCUGUGAGGGUUGCUGGAGGUAUCAGAAGUGCGAAUGCUGACAUAAGUAACGAUAAUGCGGGUGAAAAGCCCGCACGCCGGAAGACCAAGGGUUCCUGUCCAACGUUAAUCGGGGCAGGGUGAGUCGACCCCUAAGGCGAGGCCGAAAGGCGUAGUCGAUGGGAAACAGGUUAAUAUUCCUGUACUUGGUGUUACUGCGAAG